AGACUUGCACUGCAAGAUGCAGACAGGAACACAGCAUUGCAUUUGGCUUGCAGCAAGGGUCACGAGACAAGUGCCUUGUUGAUUCUGGAGAAAAUCAGCGACAGGAAUCUCAUUAACUGCACCAACGCUGCUCUGCAGACGCCCUUGCAUGUAGCAGCCAGGAAGGGAUUGACAGUGGUGGUCCAGGAGCUGCUGGUGAAAGGAGCCAGUGUGUUAGCUGUGGAUGAGAAUGGUUACACUCCAGCUUUGGCUUGUGCUC